GAUAAGAACGUAGCGAAAUGCGAUACUUGGUGUGAAUUGCAGAAUCCCGUGAACCAUCGAGUCUUUGAACGCAAGUUGCGCCCGAAGCCAUUAGGCCGAGGGCACGUCUGCCUGGGCGUCACACAACGUUGCCCCCCCACACCUCGACUUCCAAGAGGACGGGGGGCGGAUGCUGGCCUCCCGUGUGCCACGGCUCGCGGUUGGCCUAAAUGCGAGUACUCGGCGACGAGCGCCGCGGCAAUCGGUGGUUGUCUAACCCUCGGUGCCAUGCUGCGCGCGCGAUUCGCUCACUGUUACUCGACGACCCCAAUGCGUCGUAGCCACGACCCUCACAACGCGACCCCAGGUCAGGCGGGGCUACCCGCUGAGUUUAAGCAUAUCAAUAAGCGGAGGA
rnacentral:misc_RNA from 1 species